UACUUUGAGAAGUAGUUUCGGCAGAUCACUUGGAGUACUAAACUAGGUAUGGAGAAUUGUUGUUUUGAAGGGACAUCUAAUAGUUUUGGAGAAACUUUUAUAGCAAAGAGAUGGGGUCUCAACAACUAGUCUGUAAGUACUUGAGGAUUAUUUAUACAGACCAGGUGCAAGGUUAUUAGGAGUUAAAUUAGGUUUUCGAAGAAACAUGUUACCAGAUUUUGUGAUAAGCAGACUUUAUUUUAAAUAAAUACUUGGGAUCACAGUAGUAGGAAGUUUGAGGAGUAGGUUUGGGCGUAUUUUGAGGAUAGUUUGAGGUUCAAGAAUCUGGUGCAGUAUGAGAAGAUGAAAUUCAUUUUCGUGCAUUAUGUUUGACAGUAAUUAUUUGGCUGAGUUGAGAGAUAUACAAUUUUCAUGUUUUCUUUGGUAGGUAAUAUAUCGCUAUAGGUACAUAAAUUUUUGAGAUAUUUUCGAAGAUUGAGAUUAUUUUGAGCAAGUGAUUCAUACAAGAGAAUUGUGGAAGGUAGAAAGUCUAUACUUGGAGAGUUGAAAUCAGAUAUGGAAUGCAAGCAGUUAACUUUAGCUUAUUUGGAUAGAAGUAAAAGUUAUUUAAGUCAUGAGUCCCUUAUCUACGGUUACUGAAAUACAGUUGGUGGAAAUAGACAAGUGAAUGGUGUUGUCCGAAUAUCGCAGUUGAGGAUUUGGAAACUAAAGGUGUGUGACAGGUUGAAUUCAAGUACAAGUCAUAAUUUUUAGAUUUAAGGUUUUAUAAAUUUCGGGGACAAAAUUUCUCUAAGGAGGGUGGAGUCUGAUAACCCGGAAUUUUAAUAUAUAUAUAUAUACACACCUAUUUAUAAAGUUGCGUUAUAUAUAUAUAUACAGCCUCCUUCCAUUGAGGGAUCCCUUAUUUUUGGCCACUUUCUAGGGAUAGGGCAUUACACCACUUCCCAAUUGAAUUUUUACAUCUCCACCGUUUAUAUCUUAGGUCUAUAUGAGUAGAUCACCUCUACAAAAUUUCAUAUGAUUUGGUGAUCGUUAAAGCUUUCAAAAGUUUGAUUUAGUUUUAAUGAUUUUGAACGGUCCAGCUUAUGUUAAACUAAAACCGUUGAAGGUCAUUAAAACUAAAUUGAACUUUUGAAAGCCUUAACGAUCACCAAAUCAUAUGAAAUUUUGUAGAGGUGAUCUACUCAUAUAGACCUAAGAUAUGAACGGUGGAGAUGUAAAAUUAUAAUCGGGAAGUUGGUGUAAUGCCCUAUCCUUAUAAAUGGCUUAAAAUAGGGAUCCCUCAUUGGAAGGGCCUUGUAUAUAUAUAUAUAUAUAUAUAUAUGCUGAAAACUCACAUAGUUACAUAGUUUCUUUUGUUUUUGUUGUUAUUGGAGUUAAGUAAGAGAAUUUUUAGUCCAUGACCUUAACCUUGACCCAAUAGUUAGUAAACCCAAACCCGAGCCCAAACUUAUUACAACUUUUAGAAAAAGUUGUCGCUGUAGAAGGUCGGUCUGGGGCGCGACCUUCAAACUCAAAAGUGUUGUCCUCUCUUCUUCAAAUAGUUAGCCUGCAAAUAGCAGCGUUAGAGUUUAAACUUGAGAUUUAGUCUAAAUUCCUGGUGCUUUAGUCAUAUGUUCUAUGUCGAUUGAACUAUUAAUCGUUAUGACUCUUAUGAUUUCCUUUAUGUCAAUACAUGUGUUUAUUUGAAAUGCAUAUUAAUUACAUGAAUUUAUUUGUGUGUAUACAAUAUUUUAAUCGAUUGAUUUUCUAUGUGAUCUUUAUAUAAAGCAUAAAUUACAUACUAUUGUUUACACGAGUUGGGCUUUAUUAGGUUUUGUUGCUUAAAAUAGUUUCUGUAAGAUUAACAAUUGUUCUAUGCUGAUCAGGUAUAAAUGUGUAAAUUAGGAUUAUGAUCAAGUUAAUUGCUUAAGAUUUUGGUAAUGGAAAGUAGACUUGGAGGUGCUAGGUUAUUGUUGAUGUUAUGGAAUAGAUCAAAAUGUACAUACUUUGAGAAAUAGUUUCGGCAGAUCACUUGGAGUACUAAACUAGGUAUGAAGAAUUGUUGUUUUAAAGAGACAUUUAAUAGUUUUGGAGAAACUUUUAUAGCAGUGAUAUGCAUGACAGAUGGGGAUUCAACAACUAGUCUGUAAUAACUAGCAGUGAUAUCCACUGGGAGGACGUUCCCGCCUCAUUUUCGGCCUUUUCUGCUGAAUAUAAGGUUUCUCAUGAACCUUUUUGUAUUCCUCCAAAACUUGUGGCACCCAUUGAAAUAGAAAUUGAGAAUUAAAAGAGGAAUGAUGCCAUAGUACCUUAUUCCUUUCGGACCACACAUCCCAUAAGCUUGCAAAGUACAACUCCUACUUAUUCUUCUCCAACAUAUCCAUGAUCAACCAAAGCCACUCCUUAAAAAGACUUUCGGCAUAUUAGCUAAAACAGAGUAUUGUGGCCCCUCCUUCCAAAAAACCUUCACAACAUCACACUCUCUGAACAGAUGUGAAUCUGUUUCAGCUCCCUUUCCACACAAUAAGCAAUUAGUUUCUGGUAGUGUGACCCUUCUGCUGCCCAAGACAGUCCGUGUAUGGAUGAUAUCGCAAAGCAGCUUCCAAAUGAAAACCUUGAUCUUAGUUGGCAUUAUUAGCUUCCACACCCCAUUCCAAUAUCUCCCAUGUAAGCCCCCAACUGAGUUUGACGAAAACGAAGAAUAAACCGGAGCUCUCUUAUUUCUUUUCAAAGUCUAAUACCCGCUUUGCACACUAUAUCUACCACUCUUGUCAAAAUGCCAUACCAGCCGAUCACAACUCUCUCAAACUAAGUGGAAUCCUUGAUAUAUUUUCAACUUCGACUGGAGUGAAGAACUCUUGUAGCAAAUGAAAUUGCCAAGUUCGAUCAACUGGAUCAAUUAGUUCUUCCACUGUCAUCUUUUCCAAACCUCCAUUGGCUCAAUGAAUGGCCUAAAGCUGUAAGGCCACGAAAUCCAUUUAUCAUACCAGACCGAAAUGUUGCUUCCAUUACCCACUUGGAACCUCACACCUUAUUCAAGAACUUGCCUUCCAGCCAUAAUGCUCCUCCAGGUAUGAAGCCCCGAAUUUGAGUUCAGCCUCCAUAAACCCUGAGUUUGGGAAGUAUUUAGCUUUCAAAACCCUAGAGAGCAGGUUAUCCGAUUUCUGCAUAAUGCGCCAACCCUGCUUGGCGAGGAGUGUUAAGUAGUAGUCAUGCAUAUCCCGAAAUUCCAAUCCUCUUUCAUGUUUCGGGGCACAAAGCUUGUCCCAUGAGAGCCAAUGCAUUUUACUCUUCUCAUCCGUGUCACCCCACCAAAAUUGAGCCAUUAGCCUAUGCAUAUCCUCACACAAGUAUUUUGGAAGCUCGAAACAAUUCAUGACAUAUGCAGGAUUGGCUUGAGCUACGGCUUUGAUCAUAAUUUCCUUCCCAGUUGCACUAAGUAGCUUCUAUAUCCACCCAUGUGUUCUACUCUUCACUCUCUCUACCAAAUAACCAAAAGCCUCUUCUUUGGAGUACCUUAUUUCAACCGGUAAGUCCAAGUACUUAUCAUGCUCCUCAACUCGUUGAACCCCCGAUAAAUCUGCUAACCUCUCCUGCUCCUCUUAUGUGACAUUCUUGCUAAAUGAUAAAGCACUUUUUUGCAUAUUUAUCUGCCGCUCGGAAACCAUUUCGUAGGCCUUGAACGCUCCUUGCACCGCCACACAAUCCAUUUUCUCUGCUCUAAAGAAAACAAAAGAAAUGAGUUAUUCUUUUGGAUUAAAUUCAGUUUACCCUAUUGAGGUUUGCGGUUAAUAUCAUUUCAGUAUCUAUACUGUCAAUUUUGAAAAUUUACCAUUUAAAAUUUUCAAUUUUCAUAAAUCAUGCCCAAUUGUUAAAAUUCCGUCUAAUUUGGACGUUAAUUUUGACUUCAUAACUCAUUUUAAGGGCUAAAAUAGUCAUAUAACAUCAUAAAUCCUCUUUAAGGACCUUUUUGUAAGAUUUUAUGCUACCAUAUAAUGUCUAAAAUUGUACGAAAUUUUAGCAAUUGGAUUUGAUUUAUGAAAAUUGAAAACUUUAGGGGGUAAAUUUUAUAAAAUUAAGAGUAUGGGUACUAAAAUGAUGUUAACACCAAACCCCAUGGAGGUAAACUGAAAUUAAUCAUAUUCUUUUAGUGUAGCCCUCAAUGUUAAAGAGUUAGUGUACGAAAACAUUUACGAAGUAAUCCAUUUUUACUAUGAUUCUCAAUUAAAAAAUCAAUAAAUUCGUCUGAAUGGUAUACGAACUUUUGCUAUAAACUUUGGUAUAUCAAGUUUUAAAAAUAUCAUAUUGGUAUCUCAUGUUUCCAUCCCGAUCUCAGAUUGGUAUAUAUAGCUACUAGAUGACUAAUUUAUCAUCAGACCCAAAAAAAAGGAUGACCAAAUAUUAAGAUGAGUAAUUUACUUUCAAAUUUAUAAAGGCCAACCCAAAUCAUUAAAUUCUAAAACCUCUUUAAAUAUUUUUGGAAUAUGAAAACAAAUAAAAAAAAACUAAGAAAAAAAAGAACUUAAGGGUAAAUUGGUCAUCUUAAUGGCUAUAUAUACCAAUCUUAGGUUGAGAUGCAAAUAUGAGAUACCGUUCUAAUAUUUUCAAAACUUGAUAUACCAAAGUUACAAAGAGCCAAAGUUCAUAUACCAUUCAGAUGAAUUUCUCUAAAAAAAUCAGUUUAAAUAGAAAAUAAAAGGAAAAAAAUGCUCAGUUCCAUGAUUUCAAUUUGAAACCUAGCAGCUUUCCUUACGUCUUUGUUUUAUUCUUAAAAAAUAUAUAUAUUAAAACCCAACAACGGAGCAACCAGCGUACCAAACAAGCCUCACUGUUUUAUUCACAAUCACUGCUAUGCAUCUCACUACCCACUUUUCUUUAUACGAUUAUCUAUUUAUUUUACUAUUAUGUUUUUUGAAUUUGGAUUCUUACUAUAAUAACUUUUAUUUUUGAUAACCUUCAAUAAACUCAUUAAGGGUAAAAUUGGCGAAACAGAAUUUGGUGAAUUUCUGUGAUUGUCGGUUUUAUAUAUAGUAGAUCGAGAUAAGCAAACACGGUUGUUCAUUGUUCACGUGGACAGUGACGUGACCAAUUUACCCUUAUAUUUUUAUUUUAUUCUAGUUCUGCCACUCAUCCCUCAGCUUGACGUGACCAAUUUACCCCUGUAUUUUUUAUUUUAUUCUAGUUCUACCACUCAUCCCUCAGCUUUUCCUUUAUUUGAGUUAUGCCCCUCUAUUUUUUCCCUUUAGUUGAGUUUCUGGAGCCGUUAUCUGAUUCCACACUAUUAGAUAGUAUGCAGAAUCUAAACAUGGUUUGGACCGUAAUAUAAAUUAUCAUAUCUUGUCAUUGAUUCAAAAUUUGUGGUUGAAGCUGCAUUCAAAACUUGCAGUAUCAGGAAUCAUCACAAGAGCCUGAAGCAAGUUUACUAGUGGUCUCUCAUGAGAAUUAAUCACUCUGUUUGUAUCAUACCAUGGGAACAGAAUAUCACGGAGAUUUCUGCAGUGAACCCUAAACUCAGUUCUGAAAAUGUUAACUUCUCUCUUUUCAUUCUCCCUCGAGUCCCUUCUAAGUUCUAACACUAAGAUACCCAACUACUCAUCAUUUUCGUGUUCUUUUGCACAAACAUUACCAUACUCAUAAAUUUCAUAAAAUACCUUAGCCAUCUUAGAUGAUUACCCUUUCUAUUUCCGCAUGCUAAAAAAAAAAAAAAAGGAAGAAGAAGAAGAAGAAGAGCAGCCUCUAGCUUCACCCUACCUCCAUAUUGACAUCAUUGUUUCUGACUUCCAUUUGUAACAACUUGAGACUUCUAAGCAACUAUCACCUUCUUCUUCUUCUGUUUUUGUUACAUACGGGAGCUCAAAAGAGCUCAAGCAAAAGCCAACUAUUACCUUUUACAAAUAAUGAAUCUGACAUUUUAAAAUCAGCUGAUAGGUCGUCUUAACUGGAAUAUAAACAAGUUAUUUGCCAAGUCUAACAUUUUGUUUUUUGUUUUUUAUUUUUUUUCCCGAAAAGUAGUCUAACCAUUUGCGUAAUAUGAAAUGUACCACCUACUUGGUUAGGUCUAAUUUUAAAACGUGGCUGAAGUACCAGAUGCUAGAACGUGUAAAAUGUUGUAUAGUUGUUCAUGUAACUUUAUAUUGUAUAGUUGUUCAUGUAACUUUAUAAUCUGGCUCAAGUACCCGAUUUUGUAAGACAACGUCUACGUAUAAGUAUGAUGCAAACUGAUCAACUUGGAUGAUAUAUCCGCAACAUUGAGCCAUGAAAUGAAAAAGGAAUAGGUUCCCCUUGUUCGAAUCAAACAUUAGUGUGCCAAUAUCUCCUGCAUUCUAGCUACUUGUUCCUGUAGAUUCACUUUCAACAGUCACUAAUUCUCAUGGUUUCGUGUUCUAUGACUUCUCUGCCCAUUCCUUUUCUGCACAUUUCAGCUUCCUAUGCAAUGCUUAAUCUGUUUUUAAACGUCAAAGCAAACCUCUGAUGAUUGAUAGUGGAUGCAAGUCAUGCAACCCUAUCCUACAUCCGUAUAUUUUUCUAAACACUCUAAAAUCUUUUCAGACAUUGACUUCAUCAUGCUACAACAUUCUGGAGAAGAUUUUUUUUUUUUUUUUGGUUAUAAUAACGUUCUGGAGAAGAUAUGAGAGAGAUGGGAGACAGAUUUUUAUCCUUUUAAUGUUCAUCUGUGUUUUCAUAUACAGAAGAUAACCAGAAAUUCCCACCAUCAUAUGCAGCACUCAUCCAUUUUCAUAGAAAUAUAUCUAACAAACAUAAGGGUCCCCAACCUUUUUAAGUUUAAGUGGAAUACCAAUUUACUCAAGUUAGGUACUAACAGUAUCAAAGUCAAGCACCUUGCUUCAAAAUCAUGACACUUUUGGCCAUAAUUCAGCCAAUUCAUUUGACAUUGAUGUUCAAUUUUCACACCAGAAACUUCAUACCUCAAGAACUACUAGAGUUAGCUACUACCAUACUCGUUCACUUUUGCUGACUCCUCUUUUACUCGCCAUAUUGCUUCCACUUCAUCAGUCCGGAAUCGUUGCGUGAAAGUUGAUUCCUCCAAUGGGUUGAUGUUCCAUGAGCAAAAGCAAGAAGAUCGGUAUAAGCAAUCAUUGCCCCAUUAUCAAUACAAUACCUAUCAUCAGUUGCAAACAAUCUUCCACCCCGUUUGUGGAGUAGUGGAUUUCCUGCCGGAAUGUUCGGAUCGAGUAUCGAAGACGGCGAUGAGGAGCAUGAAGAUUGCGAUCCUUUUCUUAUAGAGAAGGAAGAUCUAGAGAAGAAGAAGAAGAAGAAGAUUGAGAUUUGGAAGCUAAUUUUCGUUGGACUUGUGGAGUAGUGAGCCUCUGCGUUUUCUACUGUGUUUCAUUGAUCGACAGUAUUGGGUAGGCUGAGUAAACGAAGAAGCUGGGAAUUGUUAGGGUGAGAGAUUUGAGAUUCUAAUAGAGCUGACACACAUGGACGAGUGCAUGGUAAAGGGAGUCGGUGACUCUUUUGGGUUUGGUUUUAUUGAUCCAUCUGUAUACUUAUUUGAUAGAAUUUUAAGUCCAAUUAUAAACAAGUAAACUAAAAAAUAAGGACAUUUUUCAUAUGUUUAUAAUUAUUUGGUAUUAAAAAAUUAAAAUAAAUGUAAAAAUAGAAAACCGAUUAAUUCCCGAUUAAUCUUUUAGGCACUGUCCGCCCGACUAGCGCCCAACGUUUUUUAGAACCUUGGUCAUGCAAGACAUACUCGACGGUGGUCCCACUAACAAAAACAAAAAGGAAACAAAAGGUAAAGGUGCGGUGCGGCGCGGUGCGGCCGGAAACGAAAGGAAAAGUAAAUGGUGCCGAGGCUAUGGUAAAGGUUGCAAAAGCUGUAGUUUGUUUGUUUGUUGAGGGAGUUGUUUUUCUUUUACCCUAAAUAGCACUAUACAUACUACCAAAAUUUUCGUUGUUCAUUGUCGAGCGGACAACCGGUAACUAGCGCCUAAGCGGGUUAAACGGGAGAUUAAUCGGUUUUCUAGAUUUUUAGGCGGAAACGGUGAAGCACUGCCUGGUGCCUUGGCGGGGAUUAAUCGGCUCUAGGUGGAGAUUUUUAUAACAUUGUUUUUGAUACAUCAAGGUAUGUUCAUUUUGACAGUUUGGUACUCCCGUUUACUUUUCAAUUCAAUGAGAGUAAUUGUUUUUACCGCAAUGUGAGAGUAAAAUUGUCAUUUAGGUAUUAUUAAAAAAUAUAAACAUAAGAAAACGUGUAUUUUGUGGAUUCAUUAUACAAUAUCGAGAUGAAUUUAUGUUUUGUUCAAAACAUACUUAAAUUUUGUAUUUAAGAAAUUUAACCGUUGUGAUCUAAAUAGUGACGAGACUACUCCAUCGAGAUAUGUAAUUGAUACACUGAAAGUAGUAUCAUGGGUGUUUAGAUCACAGAUAAAUAUUUGAGUAAUUUUAAAUACACAGCCUUAAUCUCUUAAUACACACCCCUUACUUAAUAUAUUACCAAUUUAGUUUUUCAUUUCAAUAUAUAAUAAAUACACAUCCCAAACUGCCUAAAAUACCCUCAAUAUCUAAAACUAAUAAUAAUCUGUUAUUUAAUAUAAUUAUUAUAUAUUUACUAUUUCAAACUUUCUUUACGUAUUCUCUAUUAUUUUUUGUUAGAUAUUUUUGAUCGGGUUAGAAAUUUUUGUGUGAUAUUUUUUAAUUUAUAAUCAAAAAAGUAAUAUUAUAUUUGAACUCUAAAUCUCUAAUGUAACAUCAAUCGGCUAGAAUUUGAAAAAAAAAAAAUUGAACAUACAUAAUUUUUUCAAAGUUAAGAAACUAGUAAAAAUAUAAUAACCUAAAAAUUAGUUUUGUCACAUCCCGACUCUUAAAGUUUUACCCUAAUUAGUUGCAUGAUAUUAAUAAAUUUUUUUACCGUCUUUGUUAAUGAAUUUAUAGUUUCAAAGAACCCUAGAGUUGUUUUGAGGAACGUUUAUUUCAAUGAAUUUAUUACGUAGGAGGAUUUGUUGAAAGCAGUAAAAAAGGUAAUUUUAGUUAGUAAAAAUAUAAUUUUUAUUAGAGUAUGUUUUUAGAGUGUUUUUGGAGUUUGAGUUUUUAAGUUGCAGUGGAUUGGUGAACCAGUUUGAGAAAAGCCCAAACACUUCUCUCUUCUCUCUCUCCUCCCUCCCGACUCUCUCUCUCCCUGCUGGAAAGUCUCCGCCCCUGUCCGACGCCGUCCGGCCGAACUGGGCCGCCGCACCGGUCCCGUUUGGACCGCCGUCACCUCCUUUCUCUUCCUGGGUUGGUGGCAGCGCCUCUCUCGCCGCCGAUCGAUAGAUAUCACGGCAAGAAGCUCAACCACUCUCUCGCCGGAACUCCCUCUACGGCCGCCAUAGCCGCCGAUUCUUGUCUCAUCUUCAAGCCCUCAUCUUGUGUAGCAAAACCUCAAAAGGAAUCGAUCCCAUUCGUGCUAGAUAGGUAGGUUCGACGGUUUGAAUACCUAGGGCUUGAAUUUGGGAUUUUUACUGUUUUAAGUCGAUUACCCUAUCUAGGCUAGGAAUUGGUGUUUGUGGUAGUUAUGAAAGUUGUUUAGAUUGUUGAGAGGAUGAUUGUGCUAAAAUUUGGUGGGCACUGGAGGUGAUCGGAAAAAGGCAGCCGGCCGCCGCUGCCGGCGGAGCAGACGGCGGCGACGCCUCUUUUAGGUAGUUUUUCAGGUUAAUAAGUUUAUUAUGUUGAGAGGAGUUUAAUGAUGUGUAGUUCGUAAUUUUUGGAGGAGUUUUGGAUAGGAAUGGGAUUUUUCAAAGAUUGAUGAACUUAGCGGUUAAUAGGGUAGAAUCCGGCAGUUGGAUUAAUAUUUUUUAAACUGUAAAAAUUUAUUAUAAGGCUGCCGGUGCUUGUGGUGAAGUUCGGGCCUUAUCGAAUUAAGGAUAGCGAAGUGGGGCAAGGAUGAGCAUGUAUAAGGCUCACUUUUAAUUUUGCCUAUUUUAUAAGUGUCGAAUUUUGGAGAAACUUUUAUAGCAGAUAUGCAUGAGAGAUGGGGCGUCAACAACUAGUGUAGGUACUUGGCAUUAUUUAUAUAGACCAGGUGCAAGGUUGUUAGGACUUAAAUUAGGUUCUCCUGGGAACAUGUUACCAGAUUUUGUAAUAAGCAGGCUUUAUUUUUGGUAAAUACUUGGGAUCACAAUAGUAGGAAGUUUUAGGAGUAGACUUGGGUGUAUUGAGGAUAGUUUGAGGUUUUAGAAUCUAGUGCAGUAUGAGAAGAUGAAAUGCAUUUUCGUGCAUUAUGUUCGACAGUGUAAUCAUUUGGCUGAGUUGAGAGAUUUACAAUUUUCAAGUUUUCUUUGGUAGGUAAUAUAUAGCUAUAGGUAGAGAAGUUUUUGAGAUAUUUUCGAGAAUUGAGAUUAUUUUGAGCAAGUGAUUCAUAGGAGGGAAUUGUGGAAGGAAGAAAGUCUAUACUUGGAGAGUUGAGAUCAGAUAUGGAAUGCAAGCAGUUAAUUGUAGCAUAUUUAGAUUCAAGGUUUUGGAAACUAGAGUUAUUCAAGUACAAGUCAUAAUUUUUAGAUUCAAGGUUUUAUAAAUUUCGGGGACAAAAUUUCUCUAAGGAGUAAAGUAUGUUGUUAAGCCAUAUGAUAGCUUUGUGUUUAAAAUUAAAUGUGUGCUUAUGGAUAGGAUUGUGAGUUGUAUUCGGAUAUCUUUUUCUAUGCUAAAGUACAUACUAUUGUUACAUGAAGCAUAAAGUACAUACUAUUGUUUACAUGAGUUAGGCUUUACUAGGCUUUGUUGCUUAAGAUAGUUUAUGUAAGAUUAGCAAUUGUUCUCUGGUGAUCAAGUGAUAGAUGUGCAAAUUAGGAUUAUGAUCAAGUUAUUUGCAUAAUAUUUUGGUAAUGGAAAGUAGACUCGGAGGUUCUAGGUCAUUGUUGAUGUUGUGGAAUAGAUCAAAAUGUACAUACUAUGAGAAGUAGUUUCGGCAGAUCACUUGGAGUACUAAACUUGUUAUGGAGAAUUGUUGUUUUGAAGAGAUAUUUAAUAGUUUUGGAGAAACUUUUAUAGCAGAGAUGCAUGAGAGGAGAUGGGGCUUCAACAACUAGUAUGUAAGUACUUAGGGAUUAUUUAUAAAGACCAGGUGCAAGGUUAUUAGGAGUUAAAUUAAGGUUCUCCUAGCAACAUGUUACCAUAUUUUGUGAUAAGCAGGGUUUAUUUUUGGUAAAUACUUGGGAUCACAAUAGUAAGAAGUUUGAGGAGUAGGAUUGGGCGUAUUGAGGAUAGUUUGAGAUUCUUGACUCUAGUGCAGUAUGAGAAGAUGAAAUGCAUUUUCAUGCAUUAUGUUAGACAGAAAUCAUUUGGCUGAAUUGAGAGAUUUACAAUUUUCAAGUUCUCUUUGGUAGGUAAUAGGUAUAGAAGUUUUUGAGAUAUUUUAGAGGAUUGAGAUUAUUUUGAGCAAGUGAUUCAUAGGAGAGAAUUAUGGAAGGAAGAAAGUCUAUGCUAGGAGAGUUGAGAUCAGAUAUGGAAUGCAAGCGGUUAAUUUUAGCAUAUUUGGACAGAGUAAGAGUUAUUUAAGUCAUGAAUCCCUCAUCUACGGUUAGUGGAAAUAGACAAGUGAAUGAUGUUGUCCGAAUAUCGCAAUUGAGGAUUUGGAAACUAGAGAUGUGUGGUUGGCUGAAUUCAAGUACAAGUCAUAAUUUUUAGAUUUAAGGUUUUUUAAAUUUCGGGGACAAAAUUUCUCUUAGGAGUAGAGAGAAGAAAGUAAGUGAGGAUUAGGAGUACGAAAGAAGUAAGAAAACAAAGGGGAGACUAAAGAAGAAACAGAAUUAGGAUUAGAAAUAGAAAGAGGAAGGAGAAACAUGAGACGUGAGACUUGAGAGAGUUAUCUGAAAAUGAAGAAGGAAGUAGCAGAUUAGUUCUGUCCAUUUUGUGUCAGGAUUCAAAGGUGAAUUCAAUCCUAUUAGCUAUUUUGAUUUACAUUCUUGCUGUUAUGUUUAGCGAAAUUCUUUUCUAAGGGCUUAAGCUUAUGCACAGUUAAUGAUUUCAAUGUUUGUUAAAACAGAAUUUAAGCAUAAGAACAUGUUGAGAUGCUUAGCAACAUUAUCCUGCAAAUUUAGGUGUCCUUAGUAGUUCUUAGUAACUGUUUGGAUUAGAAUUCUUAUUCUGUUUUAACAACAGGAUAUCAGGAAGCUAUGUGCAGCAUGUAUUUAGUAAUCUGAGAGUAAGUAGCAACCUCAGAUUAUAGCUUGUAGGCAUUGGAGAAAGCUAGAACAAGUGUAUACUUGGUUGUAAUCCUUUAAUUAAUUUUGAGCAGCUAUAUCUUUUUAUUUAGACCUUCAUUUCAGAUUCUAUUUGCAUGUAUUGAAAGCUUAUAAUUUACUCUAAAUAUCUGUGUAGUUUCAUGCAAUUUCGUUUAGAAUUCGUUGGUCAAGUUUGAAGUUGAAAAUAUAGUUGUACAUUCUGCAAAUCAGCUUUCAUGAGUUUUGGUGUCAGUCACUUUGUUUCAAAAGCUGUAUAUUUGGAUUGGUUAUUUGAAGUUGGUUUCUUCAUAAAAGUUGUAGCAUACAUCUUAAAUAUUGUUCCAGAAUUUGAUUCACUUUAAUAGUAUUAUUUAUACAGACCAGGUGCAAGGUUAUUAGGUGUUAUAUUAGGUUCUCCUAGGAACAUGUGACUAGAUUUUGUGAUAAGCAGGCUUUAUUUUUGGUAAAUACGUGGGAUCAGAAUAGUAGGAUGUUUGAGGGCUAGGCUUCGGCGUUUGAGGAUAGUUUUAGAAUCUGGUGCAUUAUUUGAAGAUGAAAUGCAUUUUUGUGCAUUAUGUUCGACAGUAAUUAUUUGGGUGAGUUGAGAGAUUUACAAUUUUCAUGUUUUCUUUGGUAGGUAAUAUGUGGCUAUAGGUACAGAAGUUUUUGAGAUAUUUUCGAGGGUUGAGAUUAUUUUGAGCAAGUGAUUCAUAGGAGGGAAUUGUGGAAGGAAGAAAGUCCAUACUUGGAGUGUUGAGAUCAGAUACGGAAUGCAUGGAGUUAAUUUUUGCAUAUUUGGACAAAACUAAGAGUUAUUUAUGUCAUGAAUCCCUUAUCUACGGUUAGUGGAAAUAGACAAGUGAUUGGUGUUAAUUCGAUUGAUUUGCUAUGUGAUCUUUAUAUAAAGCAUAAAUUACAUACUAUUGUUUACAUGAGUUAGGCUGUAUUAGGCUUUGUUGCUUAAGAUAGUUUCUGUAAGAUUAGCAAUUGUUCUCUGGUGAUCAAGUGAAUGAUGUGCAAAUUUGGAUUAUGGUGAAGUUAUUUGCAUAAGAUUUUGGUAAUGGAAAGUAGACUCGGAGGUUCUAUGUCAUUGUUGAUGUUGUAGAAUAGAUCAAAAUGUACAUACUUUGAGAAGUAGUUUCGGCAUAUCACUUACUAAACUAGGUAUGGAGAAUUGUUGAAGAGACAUUUAAUUGUUUUGGAGAAACUUUUUUAGCAGAGACAUGCAUGAGAGUUGGGGCUUCCACAACUACUCUGUAUGUACUCGGGGAUUAUUUACGCAGACCAGGUGGAAGGUUAUUAGUAGUUAAAUUAGGUUCUCCUAGGAACAUGUUACCGGAUAUUGUGAUAAGCAGGCUUUAUUUUUGGUAAAUACAUAGGGGUCACAGAAGUAGGAAGUUUGAGGAGUAGGCUUGGGCGUAUUGAGGAUAGUUUGGGGUUCUAGAAUCUGGUGCAGUAUGAGAAGAUGAAAUGCAAUUUCGUGCAUUAUGUUUGACAGUAAUCAUUUGGCUGAGUUGAGAGAUUUACAAUUUUGAAGUUUUCUUUGGUAGGUAAUAUAUAGCUAUAGGUACAUAUGAUUUUGAGAUAUUUUCGACGAUUGAGAUUAUUUUGAGGAAGUAAUUCAUAGGACGGAAUUGUGGAAGGAAGAAAGUCUAUACUUGGAGAGUUGAGAUCAGAUAUGGAAUGCAAGCAGUUAAUUUAGCAUAUUUGGUUAUUUAAGUCAUGAAUCCCUCAUCUACGGUUAGUGGAAAUAGACAAGUGAAUGGUGUUGUCCGAAUAUCGCCGGUGAGGAUUUUGGAAACUAGAGAUGUGUGGAUGGCUGUAUUCAAGUACAAGUCAUAAUUUUUAGAUUUAAGGUUUCAUAAAUUUCGGGAACGAAAUUUCUCUAAGGAGGAUGGAGUGUGACAACCCGGAAUUUUAAUAUAUAUACCUUUGUAAUUAUAAAGUUGCUUAUAUAUUAUAAAUAUCUUCGUUUAGUGUUAUAUAUAUACAUGCUGAAAUCUAAUAUAGUUACAUAGUUUCUUUUGCUUUUCCAAGAACAAAACUACUAUAAAUAGAAGCUGUGUACUAGUUUCUUAUACACAUGCGGUAUUGACAAAGGAUUAGAGAGAAAAAAGUAAGUGAGGAUUAGGAAAAUGAAAGAAGUAUGAAAACAAUGGAGAGAGAAGGGAGGAGACUAAAGAAGAAACAUAAUUAGGAUUAGAAAUAGAAAGAGGAAGGAGAAAAUGAGACGUGAGACUUGAGAGAGUUAUCUGAAAAUGAAGAAGGAAGUAGCAGAUUAGUUCUGUCCAUUUUGGGUCAGGAUUCAAAG
rnacentral:lncRNA from 1 species